CCUACGGGUGGCUGCAGUGGGGAAUAUUGGGCAAUGGAGGCAACUCUGACCCAGCAACGCCGCGUGAAUGAUGAAGGUCUUCGGAUUGUAAAGUUCUUUUCUAAGGGAAGAAGAAAGUGACGGUACCUUAGGAAUAAGCCUCGGCUAACUACGUGCCAGCAGCCGCGGUAAUACGUAGGAGGCAAGCGUUAUCCGGAAUGACUGGGCGUAAAGGGGGCGUAGGUGGUUUGACAAGUUGGUAGCGUAACUCCGGGGCUCAACUUCGGAACUACUACCAAAACUGUUGGACUCGAGUGCAGGAGGGGCAACUGGAAUUUCUAGUGUAGCGGUGGAAUGCGUAGAUAUUAGGAAGAACACCGGUGGCGAAGGCGAGUUGCUGGACUGUAACUGACACUGAGGCACGAAAGCGUGGGGAGCAAACAGGAUUAGAUACCCGGGUAGUC
rnacentral:rRNA from 1 species